UAAAAUAUUAGGAUAAGUAUAAGUAACUUGUGUUUCUUUGUAAAUAAAUAAUAUAUACUCUAUUUUCCUAGUUUACAUUUAUUUCCAAACAUAAAUGCCAAAUUUAAGACAAUAAACCUUUUUAUAGUUUUUUUUUUAACUCUUGAUUUAUUAUUUAUUACAAAUUAUGAGAAUUGUUACAAUGACGAUUCUACUACCGACAAUUCUGUCCGACCAUUUUAGAUUCACCACAGAUUACACCCUUUCCUGACGACACCUCCUUCUUCAUGCGUAGAAUCACGGCGAACGGGUCUAAUUGUGCAUUCUUAUAGACCUCAUGUAAGCUUAUCUCCUUAAUCUGCAAAUUAAAUAAAUCGCAUUACCUGGGCGUCGAACCCCAGACCACUUAGUGUAGAAGCUUUAAACAACCCUUCGUCAACCACUAGACUAAGGGAGCUUCCACA
rnacentral:lncRNA from 1 species